CCACUGUCCCUAAUGUCCCCAUAAUGUCCCCAAUGUCCCUAUAAUGUCCCCAAUGCCCCCAUUACCCCCAUUGCCCCCACUGCCCCCAUUGUCCCCAAUGUCCCCAUGUCCCCAAUGUCCCCGCUGCUGUCCCCCCCAGGUGCUGUACGGUGACACGGACUCGGUGAUGUGUCACCUCGGUGUCCCCAAAGUCCCCAUAAUGUCCCCAAUGUCCCUAUAAUGCCCCCAUUGCCCCCAUUGUCCCCAUUGUCCCCCAUGUCCCCAAUGUCCCCGCCGCUGUCCCCCCCCAGGUGGUGUACGGUGACACGGACUCGGUGAUGUGUCACCUCGGUGUCCCCACGGUGGCGGAGGCGAUGGCGCUGGGCCGCGAGGCGGCGCUCUGGGUCUCCUCCCAUUUCCCCCCCCCCAUCAAACUGGAGUUCNNNNNNNNNNNNNNNNNNNNNNNNNNNNNNNNNNNNNNNNNNNNNCCCCAGUGUCCCCAAAGUGUCCCCAAGGGGGGGUGGCUGCGUCCCCAGGGGGGUUUGAGGGUCCCCAAAGUGUCCCCAAGGGGCUCUGGGGGGGUCCUGACGGGGGUGGCCAUGUCCCCAAGGAGGUCAGGGGGUUUGGGUGUCCCCAAUGGGGCCUGGGGGUCCCCAAAGUGUCCCCAGGGGGGUCUGGGAGUCCCCAGAGUGUCCCCAAAGGGCUCUGGGGUGUCCCCAAAGUGUCCCCAGGGGGGUCUGGGUGUCCCCAAGGGGGUUUGGGUGUCCCCAAUGGGGCCUGGGGGUCCCCAAAGUGUCCCCAGGGGGGUCUGGGAGUCCCCAGAGUGUCCCCAAAGGGCUCUGGGGUGUCCCCAAAGUGUCCCCAGGGGGGUCUGGGUGACCCCAAGGGGGUCUGGGGUGUCCCCAAGGGGUCCCCAAAGUGUCCCCAAGGGGGUGGCCGUGUCUCCAAGGGGGUCUGAGGGUCCCCAAGGGGGUCCGGGUGUCCCCAAAUUGUCCCCUCGAGGCUCUGGAGGUUCCCCAGGAGGUCUGGGGGUCCCAAAGUGUCCCCAGACGGGUCUGGGGGUCCCCACGGGGGUGGCUGUGUCCCCAAGGGAGUCUGGGUGUCCCUUCGGUGUCCCCUGGGUGUCCCCAUGUCCCCUGGGUGUCCCUUGGGUGUCCCCAAGGCGCCCCCCGGUGUCCCUGCGAGCGUCCCUAUGACCCCGGGGUGCCCCCUGGUUGUCCCUAGGGGUGUCCCCGUGUCCCCUGGGUGUCCCUUUGGUGUCCCCUGGGUGUCCCUAUGACCCCGGGGUGCCCCCUGG
rnacentral:lncRNA from 1 species